UAGAAUGCCAGUUCGAACGGGAACUUAAUCUGUAGCAAUACAGGGUUAAGCUUUAGUGGCGNACGGGAUGCGUAACACGGUGGGCAAUCUGCCGAAAAGUGGGGGAUAGCUCGCCGAAAGGCGAAUUAAUACCGCAUGUGAUGAGAGGCGACAUCGUCUUGAAAUCAAAGCCGGGGCAACCUGGCGCUUUUUGAGGAGCCCGCGGCCUAUCAGCUAGUUGGUGAGGUAACGGCUCACCAAGGCCAUGACGGGUAGCUGGUCUGAGAGGACGACCAGUCACACUGGAACUGAGACACGGUCCAGACACCUACGGGUGGCAGCAGUCGAGAAUUUUUCUCAAUGGGGGCAACCCUGAAGGAGCGACGCCGCGUGGAGGAUGAAGGCUUUCGGGUUGUAAACUCCUGUCAUUUGAGAACAAGUGUGGCCAAGUAACUACUGGCUACUUGAUAGUAUCAGAAGAGGAAGAGACGGCUAACUCUGUGCCAGCAGCCGCGGUAAUACAGAGGUCUCAAGCGUUGUUCGGAUUCAUUGGGCGUAAAGGGUGCGUAGGUGGCGCCAUAAGUCGGGUGUGAAAUUUCGGAGCUUAACUCCGAAACUGCAUUCGAUACUGUGGUGCUUGAGGACUGGAGAGGAGACUGGAAUUCACGGUGUANCAGUGAAAUGCGUAGAGAUCGUGAGGAAGACCAGUGGCGAAAGGCGGGUCUCUGGACAGUUCCUGACACUGAGGCACGAAGGCCCAGGGGAGCCAACGGGAUUAGAUACCCCGGNUAGUCCUGGCAGUAAACGGUGCACGUUUGGUGUGGGGGGAAUUCAACCCCUUCCGCGCCGGAACUAACGCGUUAAACGUGCCGCCUGGGGAGUAACGUCCCAAAAUUAAACUCAAAAAAUUGACGGGGCCCCCCAA
rnacentral:rRNA from 1 species